GGGCCCGUCGUCUAGCCUGGUUAGGACGCCGCCCUCACACGGCGGAGGCCCUGGGUUCGAGUCCCAGCGGGCCCA
rnacentral:tRNA from 1 species